rnacentral:rRNA from 1 species
AUCGGUACGGCCGGGCACUCUAGAUGGACUGCCGGCGACAAGCCGGAGGAAGGUGGGGAUGACGUCAAGUCAUCAUGGCCCUUAUGUCCAGGGCGACACACGUGCUACAAUGGCCGGCACAGCGGGAAGCGAAUGGGCGACCAUGAGCGGAUCCCCAUAAAAGCCGGUCCCAGUUCGGAUUGCAGUCUGCAACUCGACUGCAUGAAGUUGGAAUCGCUAGUAAUCGUGGAAUCAGCCAAGCCGCGGUGAAUACGUUCCCGGGCCUU